GAAAUUCCCUUUCGGGGCUUUCUGCAAGGUGCUGCAUGGUUGUCGUCAGCUCGUGCCGUGAGGUGUCGGGUUAAGUCCCAUAACGAGCGCAACCCUUAUCCCUAGUUGCCAUCAGGUAAAGCUGGGAACUCUGGGGAGACUGCCGGUGAUAAACCGGAGGAAGCGGGGAUGACGUCAAGUCCUCAUGGCCCUUACAUCCCGGGCUACACACGUGCUACAAUGGCAGGUACAGAGGGCUGCGAAGCCGCGAGGUGGAGCGAAUCCCAGAAAACCUGUCUCAGUCCGGAUUGAAGUCUGCAACUCGACUUCAUGAAGGCGGAAUCGCUAGUAACCGCGAAUCAGCAGGUCGCGGUGAAUACGUUCCCGGGCCUU
rnacentral:rRNA from 1 species